AGGAAGGAAAAAAUUAAAAGCGAGAGUCAAGGCCCGCAACUCUUGGACUUUCCAUCUUCUUCCCUCUGUUCUCAUGUUGAACACAAUAGAGAGAAAAAGAAAACAACGCUGCAUUUUGGGCACCCACGCGCAACCAUCUAGUCGCUUCACGUUAGCAGUUAUCGGCGUCGUUCAUGCCGAAUCUGGGUCAUCAUCGUCUAGCAUUGUUUCCGUGAGUGUGGUUUCGAUUUUGUUUUUAGCCACCACACCUAGUCGAGACCAUCUGUUAUCGUCGUCACUGCUGUGACCUUUGGGUUUUCUAAAAUUUUAGAUUUGGGUUUGGGAGCGUUAUUGAUCACUGUCCAACAAGUUCGGGUUUGGUUCCAACAAGAUUUUGGUAAGUUUUAGGCAAGUUUUCUUGUGAACCUUGGUUACCCAUUCAAUUUUAGUUUGGAUUUUAGCUUUACCCGUAGAUUUGGGAUUCUAAUUGUUAAGUAUUGGUAGGUGGCUUAGCCUCGCCAUGAUUUGGAAAUUGGAAGUGAUUUUGAGAUUUCAAGCCACACUUUGGGUAAGGUUAAUUUGGAUUAAAUUUUAGUUAGUAUGGUGAUUGGUUACGACCUAAAUUUGGGUAAAAUCAUUUGGAAUGGUUUGGGUAAAUUAAUGCAUGAAACUAGGCUCAUAGAUCUAAUUUAACUUUUGGAUCAUGGCCUAGAUUUGAGUUCAAGGUUGUGAAGUUAGAUAGAGAAGGUUAUUGUCUGCAGAAUUAUUAUUUCGGCUUAAUAUCAAGGUAAAUGACUUUACUAUUGGAAUGCCUUUGUGCCAGCAACAUUAGUUCCUCAGUUUCAGUUUGGAUUAAGUGAAUGUAGAAGUAUGUUUUAGAUCUUAAGAAUAUGUUAUAUGUAUGAAUGGUUCUGUUAUGCACAUGCUAGGACGGUGAGAUUGUGGUAAUGAUUAUGUUGUGGGACCCGUAGAUAAAUACUAUAUGGUUCAUGUUCAGUGGGUGGCAAUUGCCUUCUAACACUAGCCAUGUUUUUGUGAUCCUUCGGGCUCACUACCAUGUUCAGCACCAUGAUCCUUCGAGUUCACUACCAUGUACAACACCGUUAUCCUUCGGGUUCACUAAUAUAUUCAGCACUGUGAUCCUUUGGAUUCACUACCAUGUUUAGCUCCAAGAAUCAAUGCAUUUCCUACCAUGUUGUGUGCCUUUGAGCCACCAGAUAUAUGCUAGAAUGGGUUAAAUUGUUCA